AGACGUCUGCGCGCGAAUGCCGUGGCGCGAACUUGAGACUGCAGAGGCGCGCCCGGCGGAUCUGAGUGUGUUGCCCGGGCAGCAGCGCGCGGGACCAACGCGAGGAGCAGCUGACAGACGAAGAAAAGUGCUGGACUAGAAGGGAGAAUUCUGACGCCAAUAUGCAGCGGAGUAUCAUGUCAUUUUUCCACCCCAAGAAAGAGAGUAAAGUGAAGAAGCCUGAGAAGGAGGCAUCCAACAGCAGCAGAGAGACGGAGCCGCCUCCAAAGGCGGCACUGAAGGAGUGGAAUGGAGUGGUGUCCGAGAGUGACUCUCCAGUGAAGAGGCCAGGGAGGAAGGCGGCCCAGGUCCUGGGCAGCGAAGGGGAAGAGGAGGAUGAAGCCCUUAGCCCUGCUAAAGGCCAGGUAGGUCCCCAUCACCCUGCCCAUUUUUACCAGAAGAAACUAAUUCCCAUUAGCCUCUGGAACAGAGUGCAGCAGCUGUUCAGGAGAAUUCUGGAGAAAUUGCCCGGGAGAGGUGGAUGCGUUUCCUGGUUGUGUCAGGUGCGGACACGACCUGGUCCUAAUUGCCCCUGCCCUAGGACCUCGGGUGGUCUCCUUCAC
rnacentral:sRNA from 1 species